CCCCACUCUUCCGACCCCUUUAAUGCUAAUAUCCCUGUGGCUAACUGGGACUAGUUGGAUAGGUCAUCUCACUGUUCACAUGGCAGGGGAAAUUACCUUAACUGGACGAGAACGCUUCUACAAGAACAGCAAUGUAGGGUGAUGCUUUGCAGCGGAUCAUGGGUGCACACACUGAGAGGUUUGGAGAUGAUGUGAACAUGGAGAGGAUGUGAUCAUGGGUGCACACACUGUGAGGUUUGGAGAUGAUGUGAAGAAGACCUGAUCAUGGGUGCAGACACUGAGAGGUUUGGAGAGGAUGUGAUCAUGAGAGGUUUGGAGAGGAUGUGAAACCCUGAUCAUGGGUUCAGACACAGAGGAUGUGAUCAUGGGUUCAGACACUGUGAGGUUUGGAGAGGAUGUUUAGACCUGA
ensembl:lncRNA